UUCCCGAAGGAGUCUCAGCCAAUCAGAGCAGAGCAUGACGUCAGGCAGAAUCACGAUUUCCCCCGGGUGGAAAAUUGAACAUUCCAGGCAGUCGUGACGCUGACCUACGGGGACCGGAGCUGGAUGAGACACGUUUCCCUACUUUUUACAUUGAGCCUCUUUGCAGCAUUACGGAGGAAACCCCAGAUAUCUCCUUGAAUCGUCCUGCCUGCUUUCAUUUGGCUUUGGAGAGCAGCAGCGAGCAGACUGAGGCUUCAGCGGAUCUGCCCAGGUGACCUAGAAAGAAGAAAGAAAUGUAUAUACCAAAGGUUCCCCAGCAGAUGGUAGUGCAGCAUCGCGGAGGAGCUUCUCUCAGAACAGGAUGAAAAUGGUGCAGAAGACGAGCUGUCUGAAAAUGAACGCUGCAGAUUCUGAGGUGCUGACUGCUCCAGACAGACUGACUGGAAACGGUGGAUCCACUUCCUCCAUCUUCCUCAACGUGGAUUCCACAACUAGAACGCUGCACAUCUUGGACUCGACACAACAUCACCAGGAGCUUGUUGAUGGAAGCCAUCAAUCAUGCGGAGUUCAAGGGUUGUGCACCAGCACUGUGCUUCACGGUCACGCUCCCAGAUCCAACACUCUGCCCCCCGCCUGUCCUAGACCUUCUACAAGUGUCAUUUUGUAUCUGGCUGGCUGAUGGCUCUGUUUAUUAAAAUGCAGCUCCCCCACAAAACGGUUCUCUCUUUUCAAAGGUUAUCGAAAUAAUGGAGUUUUUUUGUUUUUUUAUUCCACUUAUUAUAUGAACACUCAUAACACAAUCAUUGCAGUGAAAUGUUGCACAAACAGAUAAAGCCUACAGUCAUGCCUAAAAAUUAAUGCCAGCAUUAGGCAUUGUGUAAAAUAUCAUGCUACCAUGGUGACAUUUGAAAAUAGAACUUCUAAACUACAAUUUCUUAAAAUUCCUUUCUGGACAUUACUUCCCGAAAAGCUCAUCUUUUCAUAUCAAAAUUACAUAUUUGAGACUUUUUUCACAUUAAAGUAGUCGUUUCCUGCCUUAUAAGGGCUUACACGUAACUGCAUCCAUUAGGAUAUGCAAAAUAUUGAAAUUUCUGCAUCUCUGUACCACCCACAGCUUGAGCACGCCGGCUCACCUACAACUCCGAAAAACUACUCAAUGCUACAUGAUGGCAAGUUGCAACAUUGGUUCAGUUCAUCCAUACAUGUCUGAACUGGAAACCGUGUUUUUGAAACUACAAUCGGUUCAGUUUUAAAGAGCAAAUGCUCAAUCAUGCUUUUGCAUUAAUUUUGGAUUCAAAUAAUAAGGUAUUGGACUCUACUAAACAUAUUCAUACUAGAAAUAUUAGACACCUACAGUUUGAACUUGUAGAAACACUGCACAUUUUGGAACUCAUCUUUAAAUAUUUUCAGUGCAAAUAAAAAAAAACCAAAAACUUUAAAGUUGAUCAGAUCAAAUUAGCAAUAUAAAAACCCUACUGGCACAAACUACAGUGUACUACGUAUUUUCUGCAACACGUGGGAUGCUGUUUUUGUUGCUAUUGUUAAUGAAAGGCCACAUGGAGGCUCUUGUAAUGCAAGAAGAGCACUUUCUCCAAAUGUUAAACUCCCUCUUUCAGUUUUAAUAGAAGGAAUAAAUACUUUCCUUUAUCCGUAAAUCAUUAUUUAAUACUAAAAUAAAUAUUUGUUCGGUCACCCUUGAACAAACACGGUAACCUGAGAUCAGUAAUGAAAAUCUGAACAAGUCAUUUUUAUAAUUUUUUUAAUUUGUGCUGUAAUAUUUUUGUACCUGAAUACAUGUUAUUUUUACUAUCCAACUCUACGCCUACAAUAACUACUACAUUGUAUUAGAAAACAGCAAAUGGAGAUGUUAACAGGAUAAAAAUUAGAUUUUUAUUAGAGGUUUUUUUUUUUUUAAAACAAUAAGAUAACAUAAAAAGGGUUAUACUGAUAACAGGCUGCUGAUUUUGGUUGGGACUAUAUCAUUGAUUGCUGCUGCUUGCAUUUUUUUUUAUUUUAAUGUGUUCACAUCAUGCAUAUCUUCUCUCCUCAGAAGGCAGCAUCACAACCUUCAGGCACGGUCUGCAACAUGCAAACAACAUCUGUAUUUGUUCUCCUCAUUUCAGUGGUGCAUUUGGCAUUUGUUUGUUGAAGACUUCCCAGAUUAACAGUUCAAAAGCAACUGAAUUAGAUCUAAAAAAUAUUUAUCUCUGUCCGUUCGAUUAAAUAUUCACAAGCCGGUAUCUUUAUGGUUACAUAUGCUAUGCAUGAGCUUGUGACUGUGAAUUGCAAAUAGCUCCCACAUUAGAGCAUUUUGCUGCAAUUAUUUGAUGAAAAGACAUCUGAAUGAAAAACUAACGAGUCCUGUUUUGAUGUAGGAAGAUUGGACGCUCCGGGGUGCACACAUGCAUUUAUACAUAUGCUUGUAUGUGCAAAGGCGUGUGUUUGUGUCUGUUACUGUGCUACAAAAGGGGUUUUAUCUGACUGUAACUAAAGACUUUCUGUGACUGUAAGAUUCCCUAGACUGCACUGAUGAUAUUCCCUAGUUAGAGAACCUGCAUGCCUUUCUUUCUGCUGUCUUUGCAUUCAGCAGCAAUGACUUGUGCAAUGUUUUAAGCCAUUUAGUCACAGUAAUGGAUGAACAGUUUGAACACAGAGACCAAUAACACAGUGAACUAUGUGAGUGGUUGCAUUAAUUGACAUAUCAUUAGUAAAACUAGCACCGAUAACAAGCAUUGUCUCUCUGGGAUUGCUGUUUCCAGAUACUGUAUGUGCAGCAUGUUGAUAAUGUGAGGCUUUGUCUUAUGAAUAAUGCUUUUGUUUGGCUAAUGGUCAGACAGAUUACCAUUAGAGGUUGGUGUAGACAUCAGAAAAUGAAUGGCCUUUGAAGGAACUGCAAAAACAGCGGUGUAACACAAGUGUGCACAGACAGGGGUAUACUUAGUAGAUGCUAAAUGCAUGAUAAAAUGGACAUAAAUAUAUACUAGGUGAUGAUUGAUGAGUUUGUACGUUGUUUUUGUGUAGUCUAUGAUUCCUUUAAAUACCACAGUGUCUUUUGAAAGGUUAAAUCAACGCUGGGAUGGAAA